CUGCGAGCAGCUGCUGUUUAUAAAGAUGUGCGCGAGCCGUUUUCUGCCUUUUCGUGGUCGAAGCUCCGUCCGUGGGACUUUGUGGGGUUUCUUGUCCAUCAUUUAUCUUCACAGAGACGUCUUCUAGUUGUUCCAGGACUCACAGGGCCGUGUAAAGCUGGAAUGAUGAACACCUGUUGGGAUCUUGGAUGACUUGGAGGUACUGGAGUUGACCCUGCCUGAGUCAUCUGAAGACACAUGGCCCCAUUUAUGAAACUCACAAAUAAAAGCACACAGGAUGGUGGAAACGUGAACAUUUUCACCAGAGUUACACAGAAGUCUGAUUCUCCUUUACAAUGACCGUCGCCAAUCCUGUCGUUGACAGAGCGAGGCAUUUGAGGAUGUGGUUUUGGGAAACUGAUUUUCUUACAUCAGAAUAAUAAGGUUCUUUAUUGGACCAGGGAGGCAGCGUUCAGUGACACAAAAGAUAUAAAAUUUGUCAAGUUCAAAAAUCGAUUAUUAGGGUGUCUGUUUUGUUUUUGUCGUUUCUCCUGGCAGUGAGUGUCUAUUCCCCUCAUUCUUCUGUCCCGUCUGCAGGAGGAGGGUGUGUUUGAGAGUCUCGCAGCACUGUGACAGCACAGCAUGCAGCUUUACAAACCUCUUAAGCUUUUCAAAAUCUGCUCAGUGUCCUCGCUGUGGUUAAACUAAAAACACAGCUGCAGACCUGCAACGCAUAACGACAAACACUGUCUGCCCACCCCCCCACCCCCCACCUCAGAUCUCUUCCUAAGGACGCAUGA